GUACUGAGCGUCCACUGCAGAUAUAUAGAAGGUUUCCUUUCUAAGUGACCCUUCAGUAGCUUGGUUUCCGAAUUUUUGUACAAGUUCUCACCACAAGGCCACACUGAUUGUUCAUCAGAAAGCCUCGGUGUUAUAUUGAAGUUUCCAUCAUGCAUGUAUGAACAAGUUUUGUCGCAUUAUACUGUUUGUAUAAACUACUGUACUUCUCAGCUGCUUGAGAGAUACCCCUGAUGAAGUCUUUUGUAUAAGACGAAACGCGUUGGGUUGUCUGUGUUGUGAAGCUAUCUCCGAACCAACUAUAAGGAGAAGGAGGAGAUUGUUGUGAUCCUUCAACAUUUGUAUUCAGCGCUAAGAGUCAUACAUCUUAAAGUGUGGAAUAAUCUAUCUCCUGUGUAUUAAUUUGAAUAUGUUUUUAAUAAAUGUUUUAUGAUGGAACAUGUUAUUUAAAAAAAAAGUAUUAACCAAUUAGGGGUUGGAAUACUGGGAGUUGAUGCGACCCCCUGGAGCCAAUUCUUCUAUUGUUAUUUAUAUAUAUAUAUAUAUAUAUAUAUAUAUAUAUAUAUAUAUAUAUAUAUGUGUGUAUAUAUACACACACACACACACACACAGACACACUAGUUUUACGGACCCAGCAUAUACUGGGUCACCUCCCGUGCUUGGCUUCUCCCAGUUCUGGAAACCCCCCCAUGCAAAUCCUGCAUUUGCCACUGAUAAUGGCUGCUUUAUUUUUACACUGCAAUUUAGAUUACAGUUUGAACACACCCCACCCAAAUUCAACUCUCUCUGCACAUGUUAUAUCUGCCCCACCUGCAGAGCACAUGGUUUUGCCCAUUGGAGAACAAUUUUACUGCUGCAAUAAGGUCCGAAUUAGGCCCACAGAGUUCAAAGAACAACCUAGAGAAGAGUCCAAGGGUAUUCAAAAGCACUAUGCUGGCCCGGCAACAGGGGAGUUCAUGGAAGACAAUUGUACUGGGCUCCAAGAUUCUUGGUAUUCCAGAUCACAUACUGUGCUGUAUUCAGCAGGGCGCAGGCAGAAAGAGGGAGACUGGCAGGAAACACAUUAAAAGUUUAUUUUUUUUCCACCCGGGUUGCAUGAUGUCAUAGAAACAUAGAAUUUGAAGGCAGGUAAGAACCAUUUGGCCAUCUUG